rnacentral:rRNA from 1 species
UACGUAGGGUGCAAGCGUUAAUCGGAAUUACUGGGCGUAAAGCGUGCGCAGGCGGUUUUGUAAGACAGAUGUGAAAUCCCCGGGCUCAACCUGGGAACUGCAUUUGUGACUGCAAGGCUAGAGUACGGCAGAGGGGGAUGGAAUUCCGCGUGUAGCAGUGAAAUGCGUAGAUAUGCGGAGGAACACCAAUGGCGAAGGCAAUCCCCUGGGCCUGUACUGACGCUCAUGCACGAAAGCGUGGGGAGCAAACAGG